AUACCCCAUAGUAUAUUUGGAUGGCAUCAUUUGAAUAUUAAAGAUUUAUCACUUGAAGAUGGCUGUGCGUAUGAUUAGGUAGUUGGCGGGGUAACGGCCCACCAAGCCUACGAUCAUUAACUGGUGUGAGAGCACGACCAGUCACACGGGCACUGAGACACGGGCCCGACUCCUACGGGAGGCAGCAGUAAGGAAUAUUGGUCAAUGGACGCAAGUCUGAACCAGCCAUGCCGCGUGGAGGAUGAAGGUCCUCUGGAUUGUAAACUUCUUUUAUCUGGGACGAAAAAAGGGAAUUCUUUCCCGUCUGACGGUACCAGAUGAAUAAGCACCGGCUAACUCCGUGCCAGCAGCCGCGGUAAUACGGAGGGUGCAAGCGUUAUCCGGAUUCACUGGGUUUAAAGGGUGCGUAGGCGGGUAUGUAAGUCCGUGGUGAAAUCUCCGAGCUUAACUCGGAAACUGCCAUGGGUACUGCGUAUCUUGAAUGUUGUGGAGGUGAGCGGAAUAUGUCAUGUAGCGGUGAAAUGCUUAGAUAUGACAUAGAACACCAAUUGCGAAGGCAGCUCACUAC
rnacentral:rRNA from 1 species